CCAAUAGCGUAUAUUAAAGUUGCUGCAGUUAAAAAGCUCGUAGUUGAAUUUCGGGACUAAUAUGUCGGUCGUGCCUCGGUACGUACUGGCUUAUUGGUUUCUCCUUUCUGAAGAACCAUGAUGUCAUUUAUUUGGUGUCGUGGGGAAUCAGGACUGUUACUUUGAAAAAAUUAGAGUGUUUAAAGCAGGCUCACGCUUGAAUACAUUAGCAUGGAAUAAUGAAAUAGGACGUUUGAUUCUAUUUUGUUGGUUUCUAGGAUCGACGUAAUGAUUAAUAGGGAUAGUUGGGGGCAUUAGUAUUCAAUUGUCAGAGGUGAAAUUCUUGGAUUUAUUGAAGACUAACUACUGCGAAAGCAUUUGCCAAGGAUGUUUUCAUUAAUCAAGAACGAAAGUUAGGGGAUCGAAGACGAUCAGAUACCGUCGUAGUCUUAACCAUAAACUAUGCCGACUAGGGAUCGGAUGAUGUUAAUUUUUUAAUGACUCAUUCGGCGCCUUACGGGAAACCAAAGUGUUUGGGUC
rnacentral:misc_RNA from 1 species